GGGCUCACUUCGGCAACACAUGCACUAAAAUUGGAAUGAUACAGAGAAGAUUAGCAUGGCCCCCGCACAAAGAUGGCAUGCAAAUGUGUAAAGCAUUCCAUGUUUUA
ensembl:snRNA U6 U6 spliceosomal RNA